rnacentral:lncRNA from 1 species
UGGGUGGUUACCCCGAUCCCACGGGGGGGGGGCUGGAGACCCCCGGGCAGGCAGAGGCAACAUUUUGGGGUGCCCUGACCCCCCCCCACACCCCCCUCGCCCCCAGCGCCUGCUUGAGGAAAGCCGUCGAGGUGGCAUCGCUGCUGGCGGGGCGCCGCUGCUGCGUCCUCCUGCAAGAGCCGUCCGACCGGGACCUCAACUGCCUGCUGGCCUCCCUGGUGCAGCUCCUGGCGGACCCCCACGCCCGGACCCUGCCGGGCUUCCAGAGCCUGGUGCAGCGCGAGUGGGUGGCAGCCGGCCACCCCUUUCCCCGCCGCCUCGGCCUGCGGCGCGACAGCCCCCGGGAGGAGGCGCCCGUGUUCCCGCUGUUCCUGGACUGCACGUGGCAGCUGGUGCGGCAGUUCCCGGCGGCCUUUGGCUUCACCGAGGCGUACCUGCUGGCCCUGCACGACAGCGGCUUCCUGCCCUACUGCGGCACCUUCCUCUUCAGCUGCCAGCGCCAGCGGGGCCGCGGCGGCCCGCAGCAGCCCCGCAGCCAGACCUACACGCCGGUGAACGGCUGGUGGGACCCCCCCCCGGGCAGGGGGGGCAGCGCCGGCAGCCGCCUGCCCCCGGUUUGGGACUGGGCGCUGCGCUACAGCCCGCAGCAGCGGGUGCGGUUUCGGAACCCGGCGGGGGUCCCCAGCACCGUGGGACCCCCCGACACCGCGAACCCCCAGACCACGGGCACAGUGAGCCU